rnacentral:tRNA from 1 species
GCCUUCGUGGUGUAGUGGUCUGCGCGCUUGACGCGUAACCGAGAGGUCCGUGGUUCGAUUCCCGGAGAAGGCG